UACGGAGGUUCCCAGCGUUGUUCGGAAUUACUGGGCGUAAAGGGAGCGCAGGCGGACAGGUUAGUCUAAAGUGGAAUCCCGGGGCUCAACCUCGGACGUGCUUUGGAUACUGCCUGUCUUGAGUUCGUGAGAGGAAAGCGGAAUUCAGGGUGUAGCGGUGAAAUGCUUAGAUAUCCUGAGGAACACCGGAGGCGAAAGCGGCUUUCUGGUACGAAACUGACGCUGAGGCUCGAAAGCGUGGGGAGCGAACGGGAUUAGAUACCCCGGUAGUCCACGCCCUAAACGUUGUGCACUAGGUGUGGGAGGUAUCGACCCCUUCUGUGCCGUAGCUAACGCAUUAAGUGCACCGCCUGGGGAGUACGGUCGCAAGACUGAA
rnacentral:rRNA from 1 species